AACGAACGCUGGCGGCGUGCCUAACACAUGCAAGUCGAACGUGAUUGGGGAGCUUGCUCCUCAUGAAAGUGGCGCACGGGUGAGUAACGCGUAGAUAAUCUACCUGAUGAUUCGGGAUAACACUUCGAAAGGGGUGCUAAUACGGGAUAAGCCCACGGAGUCUUUGGACACUGCGGGAAAAGGAGGGGACCUUCGGGCCUUCCGUCAUCAGAUGAGUCUGCGUACCAUUAGCUAGUUGGUAGGGUAAAGGCCUACCAAGGCGACGAUGGUUAGCUGGUCUGAGAGGAUGAUCAGCCACACUGGAACUGAGACACGGUCCAGACUCCUACGGGAGGCAGCAGUGGGGAAUUUUGCGCAAUGGGGGAAACCCUGACGCAGCAACGCCGCGUGAGUGAUGAAGGCCCUUGGGUCGUAAAGCUCUGACAGAGGGAAAGAAAUGUGGGUGGCUAAUAUCCAUUCCGCUUGACGGUACCCUCAAAGGAAGCACCGGCUAACUCCGUGCCAGCCGCCGCCGUAAUAC
rnacentral:rRNA from 1 species